GCCCUAAUAGAGCGUACAUUCAAAUGAGUCAGUCAGCCUAAGGAAGGAAUAUCAGUGAAGCUCAGCCAAUCCAAAUAAUGUCUAAUUGGUAACUGGUUAUUUCAGCAAUAGGCUUAUGCAAAAUGCCAAGCCAAUUAGACCUGUGGAGACUCAGUUACAAAGAUUUGCAAGACAUGGAAUCAGCAUAGAAAAAAGCAGGACUGAAUGAAGAGUCACCAUUUUGAUUAGAUUGUUUAAAUUUCCAGCAUUAAUUCUAAAGCAUGUAUCUACUUGUGUAUUUCUUAAAUAUGAAAGAGAAGAAGAGUAGAAGAGUGAGAAGUGGCUCUGAAAAUCAGAAGGCCUAAGACCUAUGACAGAAUUAAUGGAUUUGGAGGUUUUCACGCUUUCCUCAGAUAAUCACUACGAGUUUUUGGCAGUGCCUCUCUGCAAGAGGCUCUGGGUCUGUGUUGCUGAAUUGGCCUGUGUCCUCAAAGCACGUUCCAGCUUUCAAGGGGAAAAUGACAAGGUGGAAGAUGAGCAAUGGACUGAAUUGCCUAAGUAACCCAGGCUAACAGAAGCUCCAUCUACUUGCGGCUACAACAGAAGAACAAGUGGCCUCCAACGCCGUGGUAGUGGCGGAAGAGAGAUCCUGAAGAAAUCUCACAGGCUUUUUGCUUCUCAACAUGGAAAGGAGAGAUACAUGUCUUUUCUACCCUUUUCAUUGGCUGUAAUGAGUCACAUGUCUCUACUCCCCUUGAAGCUCAGAAGUGCAGUCUUUGUGUCCAAAGUGUCAGAAGAACUGGAUAUUGAUGAACAUUAGUAAUGCUUACCAUGUAUAUUAACCCAGGUGUACACAGAGCCAUGUAAAAUUUGAGUCUCGCACUAUGAAGUUCCAAUCCAGAUCCUAUGGCUGGGUUUUAGAAUGGCUAUAUCAAUAUAAAUAUUAAGAACCAAAGACCAUAUAUUACAGAUGCAAUUUAUUCUGAUCUAGUGCUUAGAGCAGGACCAACAACUGUGGCACAAGUUUUCUGAUUACAGUUCUGCAGGUUAGAUAGUCAACUUGCUACAGUUUUCUUCUCAUGGGCUUGAAGAUGAUCAUUUCAUACACAAUUCAGUCAAAUGUACUGACUUAUCUCUAUGAAAAAAAUCCAGUUAAUGUGUCAAGUAUCAUUUUGUCUAUGAAGUUUCCUGCUAAAUUUUAUACCAACUAUCUUGCAAUGGUUAUAAUUCCUUAAAAUGUGUCUCAAGGACAGAAAUUAAAUCCUGGUCAUCUUUAGGUUUUUGACAUAUAACAGUACUUACAUUUUUUUUUUUAACAAACAGCUUUUUGAAUGAGUAACUAAAUAACUGAAUAAGUGCCUAUCUAAAAAUAGUUACUUGUCAUCUGAAUCACUCUCAUUUACUGGCCAGUAUCACUCCAUUUUUGGGGAGAAAGAGGGGGCAGUACAUCAUGGUGGCUAGGAACAAGGACUUAGAAGGCAAGGUGAUGUGGAUUUGAUGCCUGGCUCUGCUACUUGCCAGCCAAAGGCCUGUGGGCAAGGUUGUAACUUUCUCUAAGACACAUCUGUAAAAUUCAAUCCAUAGUGUUCCCAUGAGACUAUUUUGAAGAUUUGCUGAGAUAAUUCUUACAAAGUGCUGAGCAUAGCACCUGGCAUCUAAAAGCCUUCAGUAAAUGUUAGCUAUUAUUAUUACUCUCUAACUGGACUUUUGCAACUAUUUCCUCAGGAUUUAGGCAGGAUAGUAAACACAAAUUGUAGUAUAUUUUACCCACAUCUAGUCCUUGCAAUAACUGUAUGUUGCUCUUAUUAUUUUAAUCUACAGAAAUUGAGUCCUGAAGUGGGUAAAAACUUACCCAAGAUCAUGCAGCUGGUUGGUGGUAGAGCUGAGGCUUGAACCCAGAACCAAUGAACUCCUUGUCUCAAUUACUUCUUUAAAACCACAAGGGGUAUCUUUUUGUUGCUAUUUCUGUGGAGACACUUUUAUCUUUAUUAACGUCUAUCUGUUUGCUGAGCUAACAAAAAUAACUAAAAUGGUUAUGAAACUGAGCCACUAAGACAAGUUUUUAUUUUAUUUCAGCUUAUAACUUUUUAAAUUCCAACUUGGAAGCCUAC
ensembl:lincRNA